AGAGUUUGAUCAUGGCUCAGGAUGAACGCUGGCGGUAUGCCUAACACAUGCAAGUCGAACGGAACCUUCGGGUUUAGUGGCGGACGGGUGAGUAACGCGUGAGAAUCUGCCUUCAGGAUGGGGACAACAAUUGGAAACGAUUGCUAAUACCCGAUAUGCAGCGAUGUGAAAGAUUUAUCGCCUGGAGAUGAGCUCGCGUCAGAUUAGCUAGAUGGUGUGGUAAUGGCGCACCAUGGCGACGAUCUGUAGCUGGUCUGAGAGGAUGAGCAGCCCACACUGGGACUGAGACACGGCCCAGACUCCUACGGGAGGCAGCAGUGGGGGAUUUUCCGCAAUGGGCGCAAGCCUGACGGAGCAAUACCGCGUGAGGGAGGAAGGCUCUUGGGUCGUAAACCUCUUUUCUCAGGGAAGAACAAAAUGACGGUACCUGAGGAAUAAGCAUCGGUUAACUCUGUGCCAGCAGCC
rnacentral:rRNA from 1 species